UCAUUAUUUCUUGGGCUUCUCUUCUUCUUCUUCAUUCUUCUUCGACCCUUAUGCGAGAGUCUACAGAUCUGGUUUUUUUUCUCCAUUUGGUCGUGUAAGUUUUCCCAAACCCAAUAGGUACGACGUCUGAGUUCUUUGGACUACUGAAGGUAUAUGUUUUGAAAUCUGGAUCUAAAUCCUUGUCUUACACAACCCAUACGUCGUUUUCAGUGUCUAGCUUUCGUUGUUGUUGCUUGAAUCUAUAACAGCAUUAUUGAAGGUACACGAGCUGAGGAGAAAAGUCGAAGCCGAUGAAGCUGAGACGCCCAUCGACGAUACAACCGUCUCUCCCCCAAAACCAGACAAAUAUGACGAAUUUGAGGUACUUUUCGCACUACGCUCGUUCUGAGAGAAGCAAGCUGCAAAUUGUAUUCCUUGACUGGGAAUAAAUUCAAUCUAGGUAUGGAUGCAUCUCUGUUACCAAUUCAGUUUCUAUAUAUUUUUGGCAGGAGGAGUCAAAAUGAAUUGGCAACAUUUGCGGGUUGUUGUCCCUAGCUCGCGAUCUUUAUUUACUAGAGUAUUGAAAUGAAAAGGAGAUUGCUAUCAAUAAGUGAUACAUGACAAUUUUAAAAACAUGCUAUGUUUUUGUAUCCAAGCACAAUCUUUUGCCAGUUUGGAUCCUUAUCUAAUUGACACUACUGAAUAUGAUGCACUACCCGGAGAAGAUCAACUAAGAUAUAGUAAG